AUGCUUACCUGGCAGGGGACAUACAAUGACUGUGAAGGGGGUUUUUCUAGAGUGAGGUUUCUCCAUUGCACUGUGUGUUUGAUGACCCUUGUGGUUUCCCCAAAUGAGGGAAACUUGACUGCAUAAUUUGUGGUAGUGGGGGACUGUGUUUGUAUUUUUCCCUG